rnacentral:rRNA from 1 species
GACGAACGCUGGCGGCGUGCUUAACACAUGCAAGUCGAACGGAAAGGCCCUGCUUUUGUGGGGUGCUCGAGUGGCGAACGGGUGAGUAACACGUGAGUAACCUGCCCUUGACUUUGGGAUAACUUCAGGAAACUGGGGCUCAUACCGGAUAGGAGCUCCUGCUGCAUGGUGGGGGUUGGAAAGUUUCGGCGGUUGGGGAUGGACCUGCGGCUUAUCAGCUUGUUGGUGGGGUAGUGGCUUACCAAGGCUUUGCCGGGUAGCCGGCCGGAGAGGGUGACCGGCCACAUUGGGACUGAGAUACGGCCCAGACUCCUACGGGAGGCAGCAGUGGGGAAUAUUGCACAAUGGGCGGAAGCCGGAUGCAGCAACGCCGCGUGCGGGAUGACGGCCUUCGGGUUGUAAACCGCUUUCGCCUGUGACGAAGCGUGAGUGACGGUAAUGGGUAAAGAAGCACCGGCUAACUACGUG